CCUACGGGAGGCAGCAGUGGGGAAUAUUGCACAAUGGGGGGAACCCUGAUGCAGCGACGCCGCGGGGGUGAAGGAGUAUUUCGGUAUGUAAAGCCCUAUCAGCAGGGAAGAACAAUGACGGUACCUGACUAAGAAGCACCGGCUAAAUACGUGCCAGCAGCCGCGGUAAUACGUAUGAUGCAAGCGUUAUCCGGAUUUACUGGGUGUAAAGGGAGCGCAGGCGGCGCGUUAAGCCUGGUGUGAAAGUCCGCGGGCCAACCGCGGGACUGCAGUGGGAACUGGCGCGCUGGAGUGCCGGAGGAGUAGGCGGAAUGCGUGGUGUAGCGGUGAAAUGCAUAGAUAUUAGGCAGAACACCAGUGGCGAAGGCAGCCUGCUGGAUGGUGACUGACGCUGAGGCACGAAAGCGUGGGGAGCGAACAGGAUUAGAUACCCUUGUAGUC
rnacentral:rRNA from 1 species